GGGUUUUGGUAACAUAUGUUUUUGAGUAUAAAAUUUAUGUCAAUUAGGUUUUGAAUGUGUGUAUCAAUUUGAAUUUUGUAUGACUAUUUCAAAUAGAUUUAUGUAACAAAUUACAGGAUUGAAUAUAUUAGUAUUGGGAACAAAUCAAAUCGUUCGAGAAAUAUGUAUUUCGGUAUAUUUUUGUAUUAAAAUAUAGAUGGGUAAUACAACACAUUACUGUGUUUAUUUUAUUGUUUUUGUAACAUAAUUAGUGUGUUUAGUACUUGGUCUAGUAAGGUAAAUUUAUUAAAUCUAUACUAUAAUUGACAAAUGUUUAAAAUGAAUUCAUUAUUUGUCACUAACAUGGUCAAUAUUGAGUUUUAUUCCUUGGGCCACAGAACCAAUAAUAUUUGUAAUGGGCCGUAAUCAAUCCAAAACUUUGUCGUAAACAGUAUCUCAAUUAUGUUUUUUAUUAUCUGGACAGAUAAUGUUUUUGUUCUUGAGUCUUUGUCUGAAACGGAAAAAAAAUUCCAAUCAACGAAAAUCAUCUUUGUCGGUCGAUUUACGAAUCUGAAUCGAAAUCCAUACUAAAUCGACUUCCUUCGUCUUCGAUUAUACAUCGUGAUUCGCAAAUUAUUAGAUCUAAAAAGAGAUGAUUACAAAUAUUUUGAUGGAUUCUCAAAAGAAGAAGAACCACGAAGAUAAGUUUUUUUUUAUUAAGAUUAUUAUAUAACGUGAGCACUUUAUUUCAAUAAGCUCCUGCUUCAUUAUUCUUUAGAUCAAUCUUAUAUUCAUGAUACAAAGCUCAAUAUGUCUGCAGGCCAAGUAUCAUUUUGCACCUCUAAUUCUUAUGGAGCAGAACAGUAACAGUUCAAUUUGAAGCAUUCUUGAAAGCUAAUUUGACCAAGAAUCUUUUGCGACUUGGAAUCUGAAGGAGAAAAGAGAUUUGGUGUUGUAUUUGGAGGUUUUCAGAGAUCUAAAUUUAAAAGAUUAUCAAAUGGCAACUGUGAGGAUCAAUACAAAUCGUGACGCUCAAUCCAAAUCAACCGUGAGGAUCAGUUUGAGGAAAAUCAACCGUGAGGAUCACUUUUAGGAAUGGCCGGGUCAAGUGUUACGAUCCGCAUGUUUAUCCGAAAGCUAGCCCAUCAUGCUCUAAAAAUAACCGAUCCAAUAGCCCAUGAUCCAUGGAUCUUUCUCUACCAAAUUAUUAUUUUAGCCUUCCACGUGUUUUAAAUUUUAGUCUUAGAUUGAAAAAAUUCUAAUGGCAUUCAUUGUAAUUUUUUAUACUUUAUAAGGUUAUUUAAAUUAGAAUGAUUCCCAAUUAA